GUGCUUUCUUCAGCAACACAUAUACUAGAAUUGGAACAAUACAGAGAACAGUAACAUGGCCUCUGUACAAGGAUGGCACAAAAAUUAGUGAAGCAUUCCAUAUUUUU
ensembl:snRNA Rnu6-999 RNA, U6 small nuclear 999